UUUUUGGGCUAAACAGAUUGACAAUAUGCAGAAGUAAGAUAAAAGCAAGCAACACCAAAAGAAUUUCCAAAAUUCUGCAUUCGGAGUUAUAUAAAUAGCAAGAUAUGAAACAUGUGAGUCACAAAAAUAUUUAAUAUGUUUCAGAAACAUAAGAACCAUGGUUUUUACAUUUUUUGUGCAGGAUAAAGCAAGGAGCUGAAUUUGACAUAUAUUGGCAUUCCUUCUCCAUACACCCUCCCAUUUGUUGUUUGUAGCUACACUUUUCCAACUUUUCAAAGUUUUCAAGUACUAGAAAAUAAAAUUUAUUUUUCAAGUACUUUAUUUUUGAAACGAAUCAUACAAAUUUCCGGCAGUUGGGGGCCCUAAGCUAUAGCUUGCUUAGCUUGUAAGUAAAUCCAGGCCUGCAAAUAACCGCUCCGAUUCUUAAUGGGUUUUUUUUUUCAUUCUACAUAUGAACGUUGAUAAGAUAGAAUGGCUCCCAAACGCGCUUUUUCAUCUAAAGUUGGCGAAAAUGGAAAGAAAAUGAGAAAGCUUCUGACCAUUAAAGAAAAUGUCAAGAUUCUCAAUAUGCUUGAACAAUUAAUAAGUGGAUUCAAAGUAGUACAGCAAUCAGUUUAUAGUUCUGCAAGAGAUUUUGAAUCUUUUGGCCAAGCUUAAAAAGACGGCAAAAAGCUGAAAAGAGAAGCGAAGUUGCUACAGGAAAAGGUGGAGAUGAAUGUGAUGUCCAAGAAAGCUCCCAAGUUGCAGCUGCAAUUGGCGAUAUUAAUGCUGCAGAACAUGAAUUUGUUUUGUGUCUGUCAAGCAUUAAUGGUUUGAUGCAGUUAAAAGUGAUGCAUUCCUAGUGUAAAAAUUAAGUACUAACAAGCAGAGACUAAUUCCAUUAGCCAUCAAGUCAGUAAAGUGCUAGCUGGUGCUGCUGAUUGGAACUUGCAUCGUUCUAGAAAAAUCGAAAAAGGAUACUAGACUUGCAAAUCCGAAUAAGAAGAAGAAAAUGUAUAGAUGCAAAAAAAAAAUGUAUAAAACUUUUUUAUUC